UAAUACGAAGGUGGCGAGCGUUGUUCGGAAUCACUGGGCUUAAAGAGCACGUAGGCGGACCGCAAAGCGUCACGUGAAAUCCCUCGGCUCAACCGAGGAACUGUUUGGCGAACUUGUGGUCUUGAGGCAGGUAGGGGCGAGUGGAACUCUUGGUGGAGCGGUGGAAUGCGUAGAUAUCAAGAGGAACGCCAGAGGCGAAGGCGACUCGCUGGGCCUGUCCUGACGCUGAGGUGCGAAAGCCAGGGGAGCAAACGGGAUUAGAUACCCCGGUAGUCCUGGCCCUAAACGAUGUCCACUAGGUCGAAGGUUCUCUGACGGAGUUUCGGCCGAAAUGAAAACGGUAAGUGGACCGCCUGGGGAGUACGGUCGCAAGGCUG
rnacentral:rRNA from 1 species